AUGACCGUGACGCUCGAGGAUGUCUCGUUGAUCACCGAUCUUGCUAUCGACGGGAGGCCUCUAUGUAUGAGCACCGAUUCUGAUGGGUGGCGCGAGCAGAUGAUUGCUCUUAUCGGUAUGGCUCCUACCGAGGAGGAGGGAGAAGAGAAGAAGAAGAGGGAAAGGAAGGCAGCCGGAGCUGCUUUCACGUGGAUUCAAAAUAACUUUGCGACGUGCCCUCCGGAUGCAACUGAUGAUGUGAUCCAGACACAUGUUCGUGUGUAUAUGUGGUACAUUGUGUCGAGGACUUUGUUUCCUGACUCCACUGGCAAGAACGCUCCAUGGAUGUGGCUGAAGGCGUUGACCGUCUUCGAUAGCAAAUGGAACUGGGGUUCAGCGACUCUUGCCUACUUGUACCGACAGGUAGUUGGUCUAUUUUGUGAUCAACUCAUUUAUUCAUUAGCAAUGCAAGCUUGCUGUCAAGUUAACAUUGUUUUUCUUUCAUAUGUAGCUGGAUGA
rnacentral:rRNA from 1 species